rnacentral:lncRNA from 1 species
UUGAGGCCAUUGGAGAGAAGUGAAAGAGUGAGAGUGGGUUGUAUGAAUUUCUUCCUCCUCAUCACUGCUACCACUCUCACUCUCUAACUUCCCACUUUCAAUAAACUGUGCAUCUUCGUUUAUAUCAUCUUCAAAGAAAAGCUCAAGGUCUUUCUCCUUCUUGUUGCCGUUACUAACCAUUGCUCCAACUCUAUCCCAAACUAAACGAUGAGUGAGGAAACAAGUUUUCAGCCGUUACUAACCAUUUGUUGCUGCAAAUAUAUAACAAAUAACCUUGGAUUUGUGUUUAUUUAAUUGAAUAAUUUUAAUUUUUUUAUUUAAAUAGAUAAUUAAAUAAUUUAGAGUUUGUAUUUAUUUAGAGUUUUUAAUUAUUUAAGAAUUGUAUUUAUUUCAGACUAAAAGGAGAACAUUAAAUAAUUUAGGAUUUGCAUUUAUUUAAAAAUUAAUAAUUAAUAAAUUUUAUUUAUUUCAUAUUUUUAUUUAAGUAAGACAUUAAAUAUUUUAGGAUUUGUAUUUAUUUAAGAUAAUUUAGGAAUUUUAUUUAUUUUAGACUUUUAUUUAAGUAGGACAUUAAAUAAUUUAGAAUUUAUAUUUAUUUAGAAUUUUGAAAAACUUAUAAAUUUAAUUUAUUUCAGAUUUAUAAUUUUAGUAAUUUUAUUUAUUUUAGACUUUUAUUUAUAUAACAAAUUUUAUUUAAAUAUUUUUUUACGUGAUUUUAUAUUUAGAAAUCCAUUUAUUGUGAACUAAUUUACCAAAGAUUAAUUAGAUGAUACCAUCGACUUAACCUCUCCACCAUAACAAUUUCAACCAUAGAUUAUUAGGUUUUUGGUUUUCUUCUUCUUCUAUUUUGUUCAUAUUUGAUUCAAUAAAUUUAACAUUACUUGAAUACAUAGAAUACAUAGUUCUUUAUGAGAAAAUAAAAAAAUUCUCUCUCAAGAAACUAACAUAUUCAAUCUCCAGACAAUUUCUCAAACCAAAUAAGGAGUGAGUUUUUUUUUUUGUUUGUAUUUAUGGUUUUGAGAGUGGGAGAGUGGAUGGGGGAGAGGGUGGAAGGUUUUUUUUCAUUCUUCAUAUAAUGAAGAGAUUUGUGGAGAUUUAUGUAGGAUUGUUGUAUUUGAGCAAAAUACCCUUUUGUAUGCAUUUUAUUACAAUAUACAAAAUUAAAUAUUACAUAAAUUUAUUUAUAAUUUCAAAAAUAUUUAAUUAUAUUAUUAAUAACAACAUACAAUUAUAAAUAAUGAAAAUAAAAAAAUUAUAAUAUUAACAAAUUAUAUAUAGUUAUAUAAAAUAAUAAAUGAAUACAAUAAUAAAUAUUAUUUUCAUAAAAUUUUAUUUCAAUUUAACACAAAAAUAUUUUCUAUUAUAUUUUUAAUUUUUUUAUUAAAAAAUAUAGGUAAUUAUAAAUAUUAUAUUAGAAAAAAUUAAUUAAUUCAAACCUAUACACAAAAAAAAUAAUAAUUCAUUAUUCAAAUAUUUUUUAAUAACAAGGAUAAAUUUGUAAACUUACAAUAAACUAUCCUCACAAAUCCACUCUAUCAUCCCUCAAUCCAAACAACCUCACAUAUCUUCACACAUCUUCUCUAAUCCUCACAAAUUCACUUCCUUCCCUCCCCACAAAUCUCCUCCUCAAUCCAAACACAGCAAGGGGUAAAUAUUGAUUAUCCAAUAUGAAAAAAACAUGCAGUUGUAUUUCUUCUUGAAAUUUGGAGUAAAAAAUAUGCUAAGUAGUCAAAAUAAAAUAAUGACAUAUUUAAGAACUAGGUCUCGUAAAUGUAGUAUUGAGGAUCUAUCUGGUAACAACCCCUCAAGACUUCUAGCUAAUGGGUGCAUCAACAAAGUAUAUUUGUGUAUAGUUACGAAAAAUCAAACUAUAAUUAUUAUUGUAUUGAUCAAUCCAUCUCCAAUUAUCCAAUUCACGAAACACUAGUUUGAGGCAAAAAGGAUAUUUAGUGAAUGGGUUUGAAAAAUGUUCUCUUCACUGAAACUAAUGAAGUAGUGCCAAGAGACCAAAAAGAUCUCAUAUUGCAACCUUUGAACCAAAUGCAUUUUGUGGCAAACAUUAUUACAAUUAUGUUAAAGUAUGACUUAGCACAUAAGAGGCUUAAGGUAUUAUGGUGUUAGUCCAACAAAUAUAAGCAUAGCCUUGUGAAAAUGAUAUGCAAUUAACCCAAACAUUUUUUUAAAUGUAAAUUAAGAGAGACUAUACCAAGAUAAUUUGAUGAAAGUAGUUGGAAGUUGUUUAUGUAUGAUUAAUUUUAUGUUAGGGUAAGUGGCGUAAUCUAAUGAGUUGAUGGUACUGGUUACAGGUUCAAGUUCUACCAUGAAUCACCUUAAUCUUUAUUUGUAUGUAUGCUAUACAUAUUUUAUUUUACCGUUGAUAAAAAAACUUCGAUUCCAUACACAUAAAUAACAAAUUAAAAUUUCGAAAAGACUCUUAUUAGCAACAAUAUUGUAUAUUGUUCUCGCCUGCUCGAAGUCAGUCAUAGUAUGGAUGAGCUCUUCUCGGAUUUGCUCCUGGUGUUCGGUUGGCAACUGGAUGAAGCGCUGACACUUUCCUUCCAGGCUGUGAUAGUCCAGCUUCUCUUCCAGGCUGUGGUAGUCCAACUUCUGGGGACGAGAGGGGGGCUCCACUUGCAAUUACAUUCCGACGCUCAAGUCAGUGAGAGCAUAAAAUAUUGUGUAAAUAGUAAAAUAUAUUGCAAAGAUGAAAGUUGAGAUACUCCCUGUGGUGGUUGUCUAUUUAUAAGCCUUCAUGGGUUUGGAUUCUUUACUCUGGUUCCUCUAGAUAUCAAUGUGUCAUAUUAUGGUAACUUUACAUAAAAUUUGAAUAUCAUGUAAUAUAAUCGGAGCAUUUAUCUAAUAUAAUAAGGGAUAUUAGGCAAAUAAAUUAGAGCAUUUAUGUGAUAUAACCAGGAAUGUCGUGCAGGUAAUUAUCGCAUUUAUGAGAUGUAAUUGGGGAUAUUAAGCGGACAUUUGUGGUAGGUGAGAGAGAGCUAUGUUACAUAGUGCUGACUCUACCACUACUACUGUUGCAGGGCCUAAAGAUGAGGUCCAUUAGGCUCAGCCUGAAUGUAUGGUCAAGCUCAUGCUCUUCCUAGGGGGAUGUAUGGUCGGUCAUACACCUAGCAAGUACGGGACAAUACACAUACCAUAAUUGAAGGCAACAAAAACAAAAGAAAAAGUAAUACCAAAAUAUUUAAACAAAAAAGUAGUAGGCGGCAAAGGAGAAGUUUUUACUUGUAACUUUGAGGCCAUUGGAGAGAAGAGUGAGAGUGUAAGACAUUAAAUACUUUAGGAUUUAUAUUUAUUUAAAGUUUUGAAUCAUUUAAAAAAUUUAUUUAUGAAAAACAUUAAAUAAUUUAAGAUUUGUAUUUAUUUAGAAGUUUGAAUAAUUUAGAAUUUUUAUUUAUUUCAUAUUUUUAUUUAAGUUAGACAUUAAUAAUUUAGGAUUUGUAUUUAUUUAAGAUUUUGAAUAAUUUAAGAAUUUAUUUAUUUUAGAUUUUUGUUUGAGUAAGACCAUUAAAGAAUUUAGAAUUUAUAUUUAUUUAAAAUUUUAAAAAAUUUAAAAAUGUUAUUUAUUUCAUAUUUUUAUUUAAGUAGAACAUUAAUUAAUUUAAAAUUUGUGUUUAUUUAGAAAUUUUAGAAAUUUUAUUUAUUUCAUAUUUUUAUUUAAGACAAAAUUUGUAUUUAUUUAAGAUUUUGAAUAAUUUAAGAAUUUUAUUUAUUACUUAUACUUUAUAUAAGUAGAACACUAAAUAAUUUAGGAAUUGUAUUUUUUAAAAAAUUUGAAUAACUUAGGAAUUUUAUUUAUUUUAAAAUUUGAUUUAAGUAGGACAUUAAAUAAUUUAGGAUUUAUAUUUAUUUAUAAAUUUGAAUAAAUAUUUUAAAAAACAUGGGCCCGUUCUGCUGCCCAACAUUUUUCUAUCUGCACCAAGCUUAUUAUAAAUGCACUUAGUUUUAAAUCCUGCGCUCAUUCAACUGUCCAUUACGUUUGGUAUCUGCCACCCCUUUUAUUUUAUACACCUAUCAGCUUUUAAUUUCUAUUUAUAUAUAUAUAUAUAUAUAUAUGUAUGUAUGUAUGUAUGUAUGUAUGUAUUUGUGUAAUAAAUAUUUCAAACAAAGUAAUUUGUUAAAACUAGAUCCAGUAUUAAAUUUUUAAUGAGAAUGUAAUUAUUUUGAAAAAUCUAUAAUUAUUACAAGAUAGUACAAAUACUUUUUAGGCCCCCUCUCUUUCAUAUUCCCAACCCCAGUACUUUAUUAAUUUGCAUCAUAUAUCUUCACCAUGUUUUGAAAAGCCUGUGUCUAUUAUGCUGCCCAGUUUUUUUCUAUCUGCGCUUAUUAUAUGGGUGUUUCUUCUUGCACCUCUACAUUUUUCUUCCUGCUCCCUGAAUUCUUCAAAAAUACCGAAAUUACCCUUUAUAUUUUUUUAUGUUUCCAGAAUAAUGGUUGCGUAAGUAAAUGAUAUUUUCAGAAUAAAAAUCUGGAAGACAAAAAAUCAGGAACACAGAUUUUUUUUUACUUUCGGAUUGAAUUAUAAAACAUGUCGAGAAAUAUUUCGGAAAGAAUAAUCCAGAUUUCAUUUUUUAAAGGGGCAAAAAAGUCUUCUCCGAAAAUUAUGGGGUGUAGGAAGAAAUUUGUAGAGGUGCAGGAAGAAGUUGCGUUAUUGUAUAUGCAGUUUUAAAAACUGGGCCUAUUCAACUGGCCCAUCAUUUUGGCUAUCUGCCACGCCUGUUUAUUUUAUACAACCACCAGAUUUUAAUUUCUUUUAAACAAAAUAAUUUGUUAAAAUAAAAAGAACUAGAUCCAGUACUAAAUUUGUAAUGAGAAUUUAAGUAUUUUGAAAAAUCUAUAAUUAUUAUAUAAUAAUGUAUUUUCAUUUAAAGAAAUAAAAAUUAUUUAUAUAAUAAAUUUUAUUUAAACAUAUUUUUACAUGAUUAUAUAUUUAGAAAUCCAUUUAUUGUGAAUUAAUUUAGCAAAGAUUAAUUAGAUGAUAUCAUCGACUUAACUUCUUCACCAUAGCAAUUUUAACCAGAGUUUAUUAGGUUUUUUUUUUUUCUUCUUCUUCUUCUAUUUUGUUCAUAUUUGAUUCAAUAAAUUUAUCAUUACUUGAAUACAUUCUUUAUGAGAAAAUCAAAAAAUUCUCUCCCUCACAAAACUAACAUAUUCAAUGUCCACAAAAUUUCUCAAACCAAAUCAAAGCACCAUGUGAAUUACCCAGUAAGCAUAAACAGAAAUUUCCAAACUAAACCAACAGCUCAUUCAACUAUAAAUUUUCAAACCAGAGUAAAAUAUAAAUCGCAACAAAACCGCAACAACAAUGAUAAACAACUCAUUCAAAUCCAGAUCAAAACUGAGACUUUCAUUUAAAUUUACCUUUCAACAGUUAAAAUCGAUCCUUCGUCGGACAAAAUACGUACAAAGAAUGAGUUGGAGCUUUGAACACGCAAUACGAUGAAGAUGGAGCUGAAAUAAUAAAAUAAAAUGAAGAAAUAAAUAGAAAAGAAAGAUGGAAGCGAUAGAAGAGAAUAUGCCACGUAGCGAAGGCAAAGGCGAAGGGAGAGAGUGUUGGAGAUCCCACAUCGACUAGAGAUUAGAGCUUUUCAUUGUAUAUAAGUGGGUGGAAACCUCAACUGUAUGAGCCGGUUUUAUGGGGUUGAGUUAGGCUUAAAGUCCACUUUGUAAUAUGGUAUCAGAGUGAGUGGAAAAUAAAACUCAUUAACAUUAAAUAUCGGACCACCCAUUUUUUCAUUUUUUUAUAUCUUGGUAUGCAAAUGCUUUGAAAAAAUUGAAAUAAUUUUUAAGUGUUUAUUAAUGUAAUUCAUACUUAAGAUACCAUAUGUUAAAGAACUAUUAUUAUUCAUGCAAUCAAUAUUAUUUUAUGUGGUACAACAUCUAUGCUACUUAUUAAGAUUGUUUUAUUUUUUGUUGACUUAAUAGGAAGUGAAUGACAUACAUUAGGAAAAGCUAAAUCUAUCAUUUUGUUCUUGAAUGCAUUGGAAAAAUAUAUUAAUACACUUACUUGCAGAAAAUAGUACAUAUGUAUCAUUUCAUGACUCAAAAUUAACUAGAUUAUUAUGUGAUAUGAGGAUAAAAAUUAAAUUUUAUCAAAUUUCAUGUGUAGUAUUUAUUACUAUUACUAUAGGAGAAAAAGUUUAUAAAAACUAUGAAAUAAAAAUUUAUGGACAAAGUUCAAUAAGAAAUCAAUAUUGUAUAGCUAGUAAUAAGAUUAAAAUAUUAAAAUACCAUUAAAAUUAAAUAUUAGAAGGUAAAUAAACUUACAUUGAGAAUCUUCUAAGUUAAUCAAACGUGGAACAUUGCGAAAAGUAAAUUUAGCAUAUAAUUAACAAGCUUCUUUCACAGCAAAAACAAAUACUGUUAGAACAAAUAUUAUUCCUGCUCUAAAUUUAAGAGAAGCACAGUUUCCUAUUUUUUCUUCUGUUAGCUUAAAUCCAUUGAAUGUUAAUUAUAUUUUGGGAAAGCAAAUGUCUGAAUCAUUUAAGACAUACGAUUGAUAUACUUAAUAUUUUUCUUAUUUUUUUUAAAUGUUAAUUAUUACACUGCUUCUUAUUUAUUUUUUCUAAGUAUCACUUAACAUUUGAAUAUAAGAUCCUAAUAUCAGAAAGAAAUGUAGUAAGUUAUUCAUCACAUCCUGAAGAAUUUACUAAAUUGUAAUAAGUUGAGGUGUCAAAGGUGACACUUCAAUAAAUAUUUGAUUUUUCUCUUCAUUUUAUUUGACUUUAACUAUACUAUUUAUUCAGAUUUAUACUUUUAAAAUGUCACAAUUUUAGAUAAGUGAACUUAAACAUAAGUAAGAAACUCAAGUUGUGGAGGCAAUUAAGAUUGAGAUGAUUUAAGUGGUUAGAGACGUAGUGUCCAUAGAUGUCAAUAUUUUUUUUUUAAUUUUGACGCUAGAAUGUAUUUUUUGAAUUUUUUAUUGGUAAAAAUGAACAAAAUUAAAGAAAGUAAAUUAAAGUUUGGUUUGUGCUGCGUUUACUGCUAAGACUAAUAUUUUGUAGAUGUUUCGUAAUCAAUGAAAUACUUAUCUUAAUUACUAUGGGAAAAUUAGGUUUCGGAUUACUCAUAUCUUUCGUGAAGAUAAUGCGUGUGAUGAUAAGUUGCUAAUUUAUGAUUUAUUCAUAGAUAAUUAUUUCAUUGGUAUAAUAAGCUUUCAUCUAGUCUGUUCUUAUAUUUCUUUAUAAAUAAGUAUAGUCUACAUACUUUUUUCAUUGUUGAUGAUUGUUGUUACUUGAAGUGUUAGUCUGAGAUUUUACAUAGUAAUGUCUAACAUAAAAAAUUUUAUAUAAAAAUACUUUAACCCUUUUAAAAAAAAAUGAUUAACGAGUAACCAAUAAAAAAUCACUAAGAUGUAUUAAAUUUUUUUAUAUUCAUAUUACAUCUGCAUCAAAAUCAAGUCUAAUACAAGUUUAACUUUUACUUCCACAUUUCUGACUAAUAUUUGUCAACACAAAAACUUACCGUAUUUGCAAUUUUGCAUGAUGAGUAGUAGAAUUUUAGUCUAACUUUUUUACUUCUUUUUUUUUUUACAAAAAAUGAUCAUCUAGUUCUAGAAACUAUAACAAAACGUGAAACUUAUAAAUUGCAAAUAUCAAGAAAAUCAUAAAAUAGAAACUAAUUUUUAGUGACAAAAAAUAAUUAGUUGUUAUAGUAACUAAAUUAUAGACCAUUUUGGAGACUAGAAAAUUUUUGGUUUUUAAAUUAGUUUUUAUUAUUGUUAAAUGAUUUCUAAAUUGGUAUCUAAUUAGCAACCAAGAUUUUUGCUACCAAAUUUAGUAACUAAAUAAUUGGUAGUUAAAACCUUGGUUGCUAAUUAGAUACCAAUUUAGAAACUAUUUAACAAUAAUAGAAACUAAUUUUUUUUCUAAAAUUGAUUUCUAUUUCAUGUUUUUCUUGUAGUGUAUUUGCCUUUUGUAAAAGAGACGUUUUUUUUUCGGCAAAGAAUUAAAGAAAUAAAAUAAAUGGGACUCUUUAGGGGUGUCCCAACCCUUAUACAAACCUAUUCAAGCUGGGCUAAGAUGUCUGUACAAAACAUACCCCUUACUGCAUCAAGUAAAAAACAUGUUUAAAACCCCUUACAAGGUCUUAUGCUUCUAAACACAAUCUAGUCAUGACAACAAAAUAGGUAAACUCUAAUACAAUAUCCCAAAAAUCUUUACACUCCAGCUGCUAUAACUUGCAUACUAAAGCCAAAAAGAAAUUUACUACAAACUCUAACAAAUCAUGCUUUGUGCAGCAGCAAACUCCAAUAAAACCCAGACCAAGCAUACCACCUAUUUGAGCAUCACCAUCGGUAGCAACAAAACCACUUGCAUUCUAAAGCCAAAAGUAAUUUACUACAAACUCUAACAAAUCAUGCUUUGUGCAGCAGCCAACUCCAUCAGCAAACACCAGUAAAACCAAGACCAAUCAUACCACCUGUUUGAACAUCACCAUUGGUAGCAGCAAAACCACCAAAGAUAUUCUUGGUUUUAUCUAGCUCCAGAGUGAUAUAAAGCAUGUUAAAAUCUCCACCUUCGUGAAACAACAACAUCUUCAAACCACCAUAUUUUCACACUUCCAUCUUCUUUUUAAAUUAAUAAUUUGCUCCCCUUCAGCUAUACCUGCACAUCAACACCACCUUUCCCACCUCUCAAACAGGCUUAAACAAGCAAAACAAAGUCCAAAAACAUGCUCUUGAAAGAAAUAUAGCAUAUUUACUACCACACCCAAACCAGUCAUUCAUAAUAUGAAUAUGGUUAAGAUAGCUCCUGUAAAAUACAUACAUCAACAUAUGAAAAAAUAAAAACACUUUUAAACCCUUACCUACUUACCAUGUUGACACAGGUUAAUGGUGAUAAUAUCCAAUCAGAGAAGGAAAAGAUAACUUUCUUUACUUUGUGUUNNNNNNNNNNNNNNNNNNNNNNNNNNNNNNNNNNNNNNNNNNNNNNNNNNNNNNNNNNNNNNNNNNNNNNNNNNNNNNNNNNNNNNNNNNNNNNNNNNNNUCCAUACUAUGGAGACCCAAAGGCUUUUCCAUAAUCUAUUGCCCUCUUUGUUAGAGCACAUACAAUAGAAUUGUUCAAAAUGAAAAAUCAAUUCUUUGUGAUUCACAGAACUAAUUCCCAACCAUCUAAAACACAUGUUCCAAACUUUACUUGAUUCCCUACAAGAAAGAAGGAUGUGUGUUGUAGUCUCCUCUUCGGUUCCACAUAAAGCACAUAAAGUAUCUCCUAAAAACACUCCCUUUUUGUGCAGAUUCUGUUUUGUUGCUAACCUAUUCGAGAAAGCCCUCCACACAAAAAACGUGGUCGAUGGCAUAACCUUUAAAUUCCAAAGCGAACCAAACACGGAAACCCCCUCACACUCGUGGUAAGUUAACUUAUUAUAAGCGGAUUUUACUGAAAAAGUAUAAGAUGGAGGAUCAAUCCAUAUCCUUGAGUCCUCUUUGUCAGGUUGUAGUAACACCUAUGAUAUUAUUGACAUGAACUCCUCUACCAUAGAUUUCCCAUUCAAACCAGUCUCUUCUUCAACUGAAAUUCCACUCCCACCCAACUGCAUUCCAACUACCAAAAUUAUCUAUAGUCUUGUCUUUAAGCUCGAGUUAUUGUAUAUUCUUUCAUAUUUUACUCUGAGUUGACCAUUGGUUAGCCAUUCGUCUUCCCAGAAUUUGAUCUUCGNNNNNNNNNNNNNNNNNNNNNNNNNNNNNNNNNNNNNNNNNNNNNNNNNNNNNNNNNNNNNNNNNNNNNNNNNNNNNNNNNNNNNNNNNNNNNNNNNNNNUGAACCAAUUAACUCCUUGGUCUGAAAUACUAGCUUUGAAUAAAUCUAACCACCAUCUAGAUGUAAAUCUAUUUUGUUUCGGUGCAUAUGAAUUUGACAACCACCUCAAACAAUACUUUGAUUCCAAUACCUCCUUCCAAAGACCAUAUUCUGUUGAACCCAGUCUCCAUAGCCAUUUGGCCAAAAGUGCCUUAUUGAAAUGCUCAAUACGCCUAAUACCAAGACCUCCCACCUCUUUCUCUUUACAAAUAUUAUCCCAACUAGUCCAAGCAAUUUUCCUCCCUUCUGUACCCCACCCCCACAAAAACUUCCUCUGUAAUUUUGUAAUCUCUUUGCACACUCCAAUUGGUGCUUUAAAAAAGGAUAGGUAGAAUAGUGGUAUAGCGUUGAUAACUGAUUUUAUAAGGCACACUCUUCCCGCGAAAGACAGAUUCCUCCCCUUCCAUACAGAAAGUUUCUUCCUUAUCUUUGAUACCACAGGCUCCCAAAAGGAACAGCUAGAUGGGUUACCUCCUAUAGUUAAACCUAAGUAUGAGAAAGGUAUCUCCAUUAUACUACAAUUGAGUAUUUCAGAGUAUAAUUUCACCUCAUAAUUGUCUACUCCAAUUGCGCCCAACUUACUCUUAAAGAAGUUUACCCUGAGGCCCGAACUUAAUUCAAAACAUCUUAAAAUAGCCUUAAUACACCUAAUAUUUUGCACGUUUGAUUCACAUAAGAAGCGGGUAUCGUCUGCAAAUUGGAGUAGAUCCACCUCCACAUUUUUAACCCCUAUUUUGAUUCCUGAUAACAGUUUUUUUCUUGUCGCUUGUUUUACAAGCCCAGAUAAACCUUAUGCGACAAUCAGAAACAAAAACGGUGCCAUAGGAUCCCCCUGUCUAAGACCUCUAGUUGGUUUGAAUUCUUUUGUCGGGCUACCAUUUACCAAAACCGAGACUGUAGCCGAUUCAAGGCAAGCUCUAAUCCACUGCACCCACUUUCCACAAAACCCUAGUCUUCUCAUCAUAUAAAAUAAGAACUCCCAACUUACCGAAUCGUAUGCCUUCUCAAAAUCAAGUUUCACAAUCACCCCCUUCUUCUUUCUCCUUUUCAAGUCAUCCACAACAAGAACACUAUCUAACAAACCUCUAUUGGACAAAAAAGCUGACUGUGAACCAUCAAUAACCUUCUCAAUUACUUUUUUAAUCCUAUUAGACAGAACCUUUGUCAAAAUCUUAUAAAGACAACCGACGAGUGAUAUAGGUCUGUAUUCUUCAAGGGAUUGAGGGUUCUCAGACUUCGGGAUCAAAGUUAAGAAUGAGGCAUUACAGCCUUUCAGAAUCUUCCCCUCUUUGUGAAAGAAUUUUACUGCUCCCAACACUUCCUUUUCUAGUAGACACUAGUUAUUUUUAAUAAAACUAAGAGUUACUCCAUCAGGUCCAGGGCUUUUAUGACUAUCACAAUUCCAAAUGGCUUCCUUUAUUUCCUUUUCCUCGAAUGGAUCAGUCAAUAGUCUAUUAUCAAAUUCAGAAAUCUCCUUAAAAUCCACAUUGUCCAACCUAACUCCAAUAUCUUCGAUGGCCGACAUCUUAUUCUUGUAAAACUCCUUGACCACCUCAUUUACCCUAUUUGGUUCUUCCACCCAAAUACCAAAGAGAUUACAGUGUGCUCCUUUUAUCUCACUUCUCAUCCUCCUCCAUUUGAUGGAAGCAUGGAAAAAUUUUGAGUUUGAAUCCCCCUGUUUAAUCCAUAAGGCUCUUGACUUUUGUUGUAAUAAGGAUUCGUUCCUCUCAUUUAUGUCUUGUAGUUGGCUCAAAAGUUCUCUUCUUUCCCUAAUCUUGUUUUCAUCCAAGCCAUCUGCAUCAUCUCUCAUAUCUAACUCUUGUAUUUUCCUCAAGAUUUCGAGUUUGAUUUUGUCAACAUGCCCGAAUACAUCUUUAUUCCAUCCUUUCAGAUCGCUCUUUAACAUCUUCAGUGUCUCUUUUAACACAAAGAUUUCAUUGCCCUGGACCAAAUAACUAUCCCAUUUACUUUUAAUAAAAAUUUUAAACUCCUUAUCUUCCUGCCAUAUGUCAAGAAACCUAAAAGGUUUUGGACCCCUAUCCACCACAUUUGAUUUUAGCUCUAAAGCACAGUGGUCAGAUACUUGUCUAUCUAAAACAUAUUGUUUACUUCCUGGUCAAUGUUGUAACCAUUCAAAGGAUAUUAAAAAUCUAUCAAGCCUACUUUUAGCUUUACCAUUAGGUCUAUACCAAGUAUAUUUUCUUCCAAUACAGGGUAUAUCCACCAACUCCAUAUUAUCAAUGAAACUAUUAAACUCUUGUAAUUCUUUCUUGUAACCAUUACCAUUGGAACUAUUUAUCCCCCUACGCUCCCUUUCAUUCCUUAUAGAGUUGAAAUCCCCCAAAAUGCACCAAGAGUUACACGGUUCCCCUUGCCUAAUCUCUAAUAAGUCGGCCCACAUUUGUAUUUUCUCUUGCAGAUUGCAGGAAGAGUAUACGUUGACAAUAACCACAGGAAUAUUUUUCUCCUUAAAGUACCCGGAGAACACUAUGAACCUCCUGUUGAUGAUAUGAUUGGAACAUUGAAAAAACUUUUUAUGCCAAAUCGUAAGAAUACCCCCUAACCCGUUAGUUGGAUUGCUAUAAAAAUAAUCAAUGUCAUUAUCUCCCCAUAACUUACAACAAUUAUUUAAACUAAAAGAUGACAAUCUUACUUCUUGCAAGCACAACAUUCUAACAUCUUCCUUUCUGAUCAAAUCCUUGAUAUACCUCCAUUUCACAGGACUCCCAAACCCUCUCACAUUUAACGUAAGAAUUUUCAUAGAUAACCCGUAACCUCCCUCACCUCCCUUUGGAUUUUCAUACUCCUGUCCCUUUUUUCUAAUUCUUCUAGGCUAAUCAUGACAUUUCCUUCAACCCCACAUGUAGCCCCUAUCUGUUUACCCAAUUCCCAUACUCGAAUCGUUUCUAGACUACCAUGUUUUAACCAGAACAAACGAUUACAGUUAUUUAUUGCCAUAUCAGAAACAGAAUUACUAAUAUGAGAUAUAGCUGACCUUACAUUCUUGCGUUCUUCCCUCUUGCUGUUUUUACUUGAAUCACCCGUCCAGAAAAUUCUUUUAUCUGCAACAGAAGAUGAAUUAAAUGUGACUGGUUCUGAGUCUUGUUUUGUUUGAUUGACCAUAGCAUCCGCAGCCAAAUGAUCCCCGUUAUUUGUUGAUUUUACGAACGGAGCAUAUGUGUCCCUUAUUCUGCUUAAACACCUUCCAGAUUGAAAAUUGGUGUUCGUGUUUAGGUGCCUCGUCUCCUUUGAAUUCUGUUUGAGAGAAAAAUGGUGUGCCUCCCCUGUUUGUGACCCACAUAGAGAGUCCUCCACCCUCGAAAUUGAUUUCGGGAAACCUUGCGUCCCCCCUUCACCACUACCGCCGGCAUCGGAGCACUGAACGUAGGUGUCGCUGACCCAUGCGUAACCUCGAUCAAAAUAUUGGAACGCGCGUUGAUUUUUCCGUUGCCAGAAACCACCUGAUGUGCAACGUCAAUGGCAGCCCCAGGGAGUUCAUUCUUUUCUGAUUUGUGAAGAUUGAGGAAACAUUCUGAAUUAAUUGGGCUUCCAGGCAACCCAUUCGAUAACUGCACCACCUUACGGGCAUCUGGGCCUGUUUUCGAAAAAACCUCAACUUGUUUUUUAUUACUGCACCUCCCUUCCUCCUUUUCACAACGCACCAAACACUAGGCCGUUUCUGAAGGCCCACAAAACUUUUCCACGUCAACCCUAGUAAGAGUCGUUGGGGUUUCAGAACCUAGGUUAUCACUACCUAUGAUUGACCUAGGCGUAGAGACCGAGCCUACGGUUCUAGCCAUGAUGGGUUUGCAACAGCUUUCCAGUGCGCUGGGUCCUAAAUUCCGGCAGCCUUGUGCCGUCGGUGGCAACGCCAAACUCGCGUCCACCUUCGAAAUCUCCUCAUCGACCUUUCUAACUUCUUCGAAAUCCCUGCUUCCCGAUCGCACAGAAUCAUUAGACGCUAUUGAGUCAACCUCAGUUUCGAGACCAUCGGAUUCUUCGCUCCAAUGGCAUUGACAAAGUUUAUAAUCUGGAACUAUGUAUUCUUCCUCCACCGAAACCUGAUACAAAACGUCAUUGAUGUUCAUAUAGCUAGUAAUCUUCGCCUCGCACCCCACUGAUACUCUAAUUCUAAACCUUGCGUACUCCAUCUCUUCCAAUGCUAGAGUUGCUUCAUCAAUCUCAACGAGGGUUCCCAAUAACGCAGCUAUGUGCUUGAAACAAUCAUAAUUCCAUAGUUUCAAAGGUAAACCUCUGCAUCUCACCCAUACCAGUUUGUCUACCGCUACAAAUUGCUCAUUCCACGGAAUGAUUGUGUCAAAAAUUUCUUCGAACCAUUCUUUGUUCUCCUCUAUGGCUUCUUUGAUCGUCAUUUCAUUUUCUCCCUUCAGUAACACAUGGAACCCCCCCAGAAAUUUAACCUUUAUAAAGCCAAGACCGCCCAGAAUAAAACUUUCAUUCAAACCUGAUAUUUUGCUCAGGUCCGAUACCCUUCCAAUAUGACAAGUUUUUAACCAUUCUCUGGGAGUUUCUUCUGCUUUAAAGUGAAUAGCAUGUAAGCUACCCCUGUUCUGCGAUUGUGCUCUGUUCCCAUUACCAUACUUAACGGUGUUAGCAUACGUGUUUGUUCCUUUUGCCCGCCACACUUUUUUAAUUUCUUUCUCUGGUUCUAAUGCCUUCUCUUUUUGCUUUGCAUUCCACUCCUUUCUUGUUUCUGCUGCUAUGAUAUAUUUAGGUCUAUUAGCAUUCAGUUUCCAGCUCCCAAUCCAAAUUGUAUUCAGAUGAUAUUCCAACUCCCUAACAUUCUGUACACCCAGAAAUCUAACAAAACCAAACCUUUGCUUCUUUAUAUUUAAUCUUCUAGAGAUGAAAACAUAACUCACCCUUUGAUAUCAAAGGGGAAGUUAGAGAAGAAGAAAGGUGUUCCUCUCUCAUUCAUUGUUCUUGUAUUCUAUUUGGUACUCGAAACAAUUCAGAGAUUGUAAAAGAGACGUGAUGUUAAAUUUGUACGAAUAAAAUAAAUUUGAUCAAUUAUUGUAAUAAUAAAAUAAAUAAAAAGCAAAUAGUUUUUGAAAAAACAAAAUCUUUAAGAAAUUAUUUUUACUCAUUUUUUAUACUUUCUAAUCUAAAAAUAGUAUAAAAAAAUAAGUUUUUAUACAUGUAGGGUUGUUUCGAAACAACACUACAUGUAUAAAACUUAAUUUUUUUUUAUUAAUUUUAGCAUUAUUUUUCCUACAUCCAUUCAUCACUUCUAUCAAAAUUAUUAAUUUUAAUAUUAAAAAGUUUGAUAUUUGCACACAACAUAUAAAUAUGUAUAUUAUCUAUAUUUUUUUAUAUACUGUGAUAGGUUUUGGUGUACAUAAUUGCAAUAAAAUAUCAUUCAAGUCUUUUACAUUAGGUAUGCCCAAGUAAAAUGAAAUUAAAAGAAAUACUUGUGACACAAAAAUUGAAGUGGUUCUAGUCGUCACGAGUAAACAUUUGCAACUGGUUUAACAUCAAUUCUAACCAUCCAAUGAAGAAGAUAAAAAGUCUCAGUAACUCUUCACAAUAUUCAGCACAGAUGAAUAUGUUCCUAAAAUUCCAAAAAUGACUCCAAAUACAGCAAUUACCACACUCAACACAACCUAUGUCAGAGUAAAGAUAUAAGAAAGUGUGUAAAUAGACUGGGGAUAAUAAUAAUAAUAAUAAUAAUGAUUUAUAAAAUAUGAUUCUAAAAAAAAUAAAUUAAAAAAUAAAUGCAAAAAUAGGAGUAUCAUACCUGUGUACACGUUGCUUUUUUUCCCACAAUUCUCAUAAAACAUAAACUUGGAAAUAUCACUGACUGAAAAUUUUGCACUCCCAAAAUUAGUUUGCAGUUUCACUGAAAUUCCUUACAUAAAUUAUAAAGGAAAGCACAGUGGUCACAAAUGUUUGACAGGGAAAUAUGAGUGAUAGCGUGUGUUUAUGUGAAAGUGAUUGUGAGUAUAUUGAAGUGUUUGCUUACCACAAGUAUACUGAAGAGAGAGCCAAUUAAAGCCAUCACAUACCCUGAAAUUGUUACAAAAUGGUGUUAAAGAAUCACUUAGGUUCAUAUAACAUACCAUUUUCUAUAUUCAACGUAGUAUUUUCUUAAUGAAAAUGUUUGAUCAAUUUUUUAUGGAAAUUAAUAAAGAUAUAAGGAGUAAUCGACACUUCAACUUAGGUUAGAAAUAGAAAUAGUUCAGCUAACAUAAAUUUAAGAGAAAUUAACACUUCAGAAAGGCAACUGAAAAGAUACAAAACUUAUAUGAACCUAUGUUAUCAUAAUAUACCUACCUCAAAUGCACAAAUGGGUGGAAAAGAAAAUAUGAAAAUAUAUGCUUAUGGACAUAUAUUAAUUUUUGUAGUGUCCUUGACUAGUUGAGUAAAGUAAUACUACAAUGAUAAAGUUUAAGCUCACCAAAAAAUGGAAUCAGAAAAGCAGCACAAACGGUUGAUACAACAAGUGCGAUUCUGAUAAGAACGAAACACCAAUAAGUUCUUGAGAGUCUAUCUGGUAGCAACUCCUCGAGACUUCUUGCUAAUGGGUUCAUCAACAAAGCGAAUUUGUGUAUAGUUAGGGAAAAUCAAACUAAAAUUAUUCCUGGAUUUGUUCAAGUUAUCUCCAAUUAUUGCAUUCAUGACAUACUAGUUUUAGGCAAAAAGGAUAUUUAGUGAAUGGGUUGAUUACCUGAAAAAGAGUAAGGAACACAUGGGUAAAAAAAUGUUUACUUCAGCGAAACUAAUGAAAUAAUGCUAAGAGACGAAGAAAGUUUCAUACUUACUGUUGUCCAUAUUGCAACCUUUGACGCAGAUGCAUUUCGUGGCAGAUUUAACGUUAUUUGAGACAAAGUGUCGUUGCCAAACGCAAGGAAUCCCAUGAUAGCAACACCUCCAUAUAUUGCAACCGACAAUACAAAACUGUGUGAGAACAAAUGAAUUUAGGAAUUAGAUAUUCAAAAAUAAGAAAUCAGAAACAUUUUUUUUGUUACAGACAAAAUAGAGGAGAUAGCAUACCAUAUUAUUAGUGCUUUAGUAAAUUGUGUUUUGUCUGCCAUAGAUUGGUAGAUAUUUGGAAAAACUGAAUGGCCUGCAAAGCAAAACCCGUGGAUACCAAUAGCUAAUGGAAUGCCACUCCAGUUUACCAAUUUAGCGUUGUGAUGGAAUCCAACACCAUCCAUUAUCCCAACACAAAACACACAGACAACAAUCAAUAAUGUUGCAAAAACCCCUCCAGCUGCAUAUCAUAACAAAAUUUUCGUUAAGGAAAUGUUAAGUUGUAAAUUUUAAAACAAAAGAAAUGUCAUUUACACUUAGGAGUACCUGACAAUGCAGAGAUUAUACGAAAAUCCUUCAGCAAAACAGUUGGGAAAAAAGUAAGUGCAGCAAAAAUUCCAAACAAGUGCACUGAAUCUAACUGGAAACUACCCAAAUCUAAUGAUGUUCCUGGAAAUAGUCUAGUGAGGUUGUCUCCUUCCAAGGUGAUGAAUUCUACACAACAUGACUACACUCACGAAAAGAUGUGUUAUAAAUACAUUGCAAACUAUCAUAAUUAAGAUGUUAUUAAAAGAAAUAUAAGAAAUGAUUGUAGAACUUACAUAUAAUUCCGUGUACAGGAUGAUCUGCAAUAAUUUCAUAAGUAUACAUUGGUUAGUGUUUAAGUGAAAAAGUUACAUCUCGAUAUUCUGUGACAUGAGUUUGUAUAUACAACAAAUAAAGAUAAACAGUGAAUAAUCUUGAGAAACUAGACAAAACCUUGGUACAAAACAGAAUAAAAACAAUCAUCUAGUCAAAAUCAAAUAAAUUGACUCUAAGUUCUAAAGGAAUCCAAUUUAGAAUGGAGGAAUUUAAGCCUCACAAUUAAUAAGAAACAUAAAUAAAUCCUAGGAAAGAUUUAUCUGUCGAGUAACAAGCACUGCACAAGGAUUUUCAAUUAAUUUAAAUAAAUAAGUAGAUAACUCACUGAUACGAUAAUACGACCAUAUUUUCCAAAUGCAGCCUCUCCUAUAUCUGGGUAGCUAUUGAUUCCUUCUCUGCUUUCAAAGCAAUAUCUCAUAAGGGUAGCUGUAUAGCAACAAAUGACAGCGAAAAGAAUCAUCAACACCAUGCUCAUCCAACCAGCUUCUUUCAAUGUAUAAGGUGUUGAGAGAAUGCCAACUCCAGCCAUCACAUUAGUUGCUGCCAUUUGCCAAAGGUAAAAUACAUUAUCACCUCAUAAAAUGACCUAAUUGUAAUAAAAAUUGUGGAAGUUCAGUUAGGUAUUUUCAAAUAGGAUAAAACAAUUGUUUGCUAUGAAAUAACAUACCAUUGAAAAUUGUUUGAAUUAAGCUGCACCCAUGACUAAUGGGCAAUUCGCCUACUAAAUGCUCUUGUACUGCAUCUUCCUUCAGUGAUGUUGAUUGUGUAAGGACUUCAGGACUAGAGAGGAAAGGAGUUUUUCCAUCUAUUUGUAUGUUAUGUUUUGAACGAUUUUCAAAACUGGAAAAUAUAAUACUUGGUACUCGUAGAAUUGAAUCAAAAUUUGGAGUUGCUGGAAGUGUGUAAGAAUCUGUAGUCUCUCUGUCAUAAGAAGAAAAGAAAACAAGGAAAUUAAUAAGAGACGAAUCAACAUUAUAGCUUCAAAAUUCCACACGACUUAUUUUUUAUGAUGACAAGAAUGGGCAUAGUAAAUCUUUCCAUAAGUUAUUUUUUUUUAUAAAAGUAUGCUUUACAAUUCUCCUUAUGAAAGUGAAAUCUCAUAAGUGUUAUUCUCAUAUUUUUAUACAACCAUGUUACAACUUCCAAUACUAUUAUUUUUAUAUUUUUUAUAAAUUUAAUUUUUAUUAUAUAUAUUUAUAUCUAAAUCUAUAGUCGUAUACAAUUCUCAGUAUUAAUUCUCGACAUCAUUUCCCAAUUGUGAUAAACAUAAAGUUACUAGUCAUGCUAUAAAAAUGAUGUAUAGUGAUGCAUGUUAAGUUCUCCAAUUUGUAAUAUUAAAUAGUUUUUACAACUAUCACAAUUUUAGUAUUUUAAAUACUUAAAAUGAAAUAAUUUUAAAAUUUAUUUAAUAAUAUGAUUUGAAUUACACAUUUCACAUUUUUUUUACUAAUUUAUCAAAAUUUAAAUGAACUAUUUUGUGGUUAGUUAGACAGGUUUUUAAUUAAACAGUUAGAGUUGUAAAAAGUAGUUAUGAGCAAUACAUUUUCUCCUUUAUGUUAACCCAAUUGAUGUGACAUAUUCUUUAAGAAAAUAAACCUAAUGAUAUAAUAUUUUAAAAUAUAUUUUUAAUUAGAAUAAUCAUCAAAAUAUUUUUAUUUUUAAAGCUUCCUUUAAUUACUCAUUCUAAUAUUGAUUUUCCAUGUAAAAAUUAUUAUCUAAUACAAAUUAUUAGAAUUUUAUAGAAAAUUUAAAAAGUGUACUAAAUUUGUAUAAGGGAGACACUUUUAUAUAUUUAGAAGUAAAAAUAAUAAUAUUUAAAUAUUUAUAAAAAUAAUGUAAGAGUGAUGGUUUAGUUAUAAGUUGUUUUUAAGAAAAAAAGUUAAUUAAAGUAAAGCAUACUAAAUUUACAUUGAUUGAGGGAAAAAAGCUUAAAUCACUCUUUCACUCAUCCAACCAUAGAAAACAAAUUUAUAGUUUUUUUAAUGUUAUAUAAUAAUAUAUUAAAAAUAGAAACAACAUGCCAACUGAAAUAUAUAUUUUACAGUCAAUUCAUUAAUCAUAUGUGACAAUUAAUGUAAGUAUGCAUUUUCUUUAGAAGUAUAAAUUUUAUAAAAAUAAAGUCUAUAAAUAAGUUAUAAGAGUUUAUAUUUUAUUUUAUUAUAAAUAUAUUUCACCUUUUUAUCCUUUUUUCUACAUUCUUUCCAUCCCUUCCUUAGAAAUUUAAAUCAUGAGGUUAUUUGUACUUUUAAACAUAUUAAAUUAUCAAAUCCUUAUGAAAGUAGCAAUCAAUAGAUUAAGAUAGUCUAAACAUAUUUUUGAAAAAAAAUAUGAUAAAAAAUAAAAGACGGGUACAGAGAGAUAGGUAUACCCAUUUCCCUAAAGAGGAUGAUGAAAAUAUGAUAAAAAAUUUAUACCCAAAAUAAAUAUGAGGAUGAAUUUUUAUUUUAAAGAUAUAAAUGAUAUAAUGAAACCCACAUUUGUUGUCUCCUCUUGUGAUCCCUAACCAUGGGUCAUUUGAUGAAAAGAGAAUCAAAGCAAGCACUAGAAGUUAUACAAAGGGAGGUGGGUUGCAAGUAAAAGAGGGUAAGGGGUAAUACAUUUCCUAAAAAUAUAUAAAUUGCUAUGAGGCCUUAGAGAUGCUGAUAAGUGGGGACCACUAUUGGUGGUGGACAUCCUAUAAGCUUAUGCAUGUAUUAGGCAUCCUAUAUAAGUCUAUAGAAAAUAUUGAUAAUGGUUUACACAGUUUCACAACUCUCUAGUCGAGUUAUAUACAACUUUUGAUAUAAUGAGUUUAAAACUAAAUAUAUAAUAAAAGAGUAAAUUUGUAAUUAAAAGAUAUGAAAAAUAUUUAAAAACAUUAAAAAUAUAUUAAAAGUUGUAAUGUGACUAUAUAAAAAUGGUACGUUGUUAAUGUAUUAUUAUCAUAAUUAUGUUGAUAUUAGACUAUGAAUUUUGAUAGUACUAACCUUCUCAUAAUAUACAAAGUCUGGAUUUUCUGAUUUAGUGCAGAUGUACAAUGGAAAGUACAAUUAACACAUAAAUUAUCAUGAGUGUGAGUGCAAUUUAUGAAAGAACCAACCUGAACAUUCUCCUGAGUGAAUACUAUUACAAUUAUGUUAAAGUAUGGGUUAGCACAUAAGUGAGUUAAGGUCUAAUGGUGUUAAUCCAACAAAUGUAAGAAUAGCCUUGUAAAAAUGAUCUCCAAUUAAGCAAAACAUUUUUUAAAGUGUAAAUUAUGAGAUACUAUACCAAGAUAAUUUGUAGAAAGUAAUACGAAGUUGUUUAUGUAUGAUUAAUUUUAGGUUAGGGUAAGUGUCGUAAUCUAAUGGAUUGAAGGUAAUAGUUACAUAUCCAAGUUCUAUCAUGAAUCACCCUAAUCUUUAUUUGUAUGUGUUCUAGCCAAGGGGGAUGUCUUCUUACUAAAGCAUACAGUUAAGUCAAUAAGAGUGGUUUCUAACCCAUUGUUCACUGUGAGUUGUUUUCUUUUCCUUAUAUAGGGUAGGGUUAUUUCCUUUUUCCUUUGUAUCUGGUCUUAUUAUUGGUUUAAUUCAGUAAUAAAUGUUGUUUCCUAUUUAAGAUUGAUUAUCUGGAAUCCCUUUAUUUGCACUGAUACGACAUUAAUGUCUUUAACUAUGAAUAUGGGUAAACGAUCUCUUUAUACAUAUUGGACUCGUUCCAUGAUAUCAUAGUAUGUAUGUUAUACAGAUUACCAUGAAGGCAACAAAAGCAAAAUAAAAAGUAAUAGCAAAGGAUUUAAACAAAAAGUAGUAGGCAGAGGAGAAGUAUUUACUUGUAACUUUGAGGCCAUUGGAGAGAAGUGAAAGAGUGAGAGUGGGUUGUAUGAAUUUCUUCCUCCUCAUCACUGCUACCACUCUCACUCUCUAACUUCCCACUUUCAAUAAACUGUGCAUCUUCGUUUAUAUCAUCUUCAAAGAAAAGCUCAAGGUCUUUCUCCUUCUUGUUGCCGUUACUAACCAUUGCUGCAACUAUAUCCCAAACUAAACGAUGAGUGAGAAAACAAGUUUUCAGCCGUUAGAAACCAUUGCUGCAACUAUAUAGCAGUCUAAACGAUGAGUCAUGAAACAAGUUUUCAGCCGUAGAAGAUGCAAUCAAUAAUGUACAAAAAGCCAUAUGAAACGAUAACGCAAUAAAAUAAAUUGAAUCAAUGAUAUAAAAAACGCAAUAAACGACAAUACAACAGAGUAUAAAAAUCCAUGUAACGACAGCAUGAGAAGAUGUUAUCAAUAUAUUCAAGUAAUGACUCUGCAACAUCUAGAUCUACACAUCUAUUAUAAGAGUUUCUUUCUAAUUUUAUCUCCACACAUAUCAUGGCAUGUCUAUUUAAUUUUAAUAAAUGAAAUCUGACAAUCAGAAUUUUUGUCCUUGUGAUGCUAUGUUCAUCCUAGAUCUUGC